rnacentral:snRNA from 1 species
GAGAGUACUCACUUUGGCAGCAAAACUGGAACCACACAGAGAAAAUGAGCAUGGUCCCUGGGCAAGGAUGACAAGAACAUUUGUGAAGCAUUUCAUAUUUAA